UUCUCUUGCCAAAACAUUAUAACUGGAGAUUUGCAGUGGAUAUGCAGAAGCUGGACUUUGUACAGAAAAUGCAGAAUCCACACCCAGCCUGUCCUCUGGGAAAAAAGAGGUUCUUGGCAGGAAUAAAGGAAGAAACCUUUUAAUAUGGAUAGCUCACACCUGCUGACUUAAAGAGUCUUCUUCCUUAUUGAACCUCAAGCCAGCAGGGAAAAUACAGAUUGAAAGAGGUGCCUGAUAUGCCCACUGCUGGACUUGGGAUCUGCAAGGAAAGUCCUGCUGUUCAGCAGGCAAUGAGGCUUUCUUAAUCCACAAUUCAUCUUUAAUGAGAUUUCCUAACUGGUAAGACUCUACUCAACAUGUGUGAAUAACCUGCCUUUUUUCAAUGUGAUUCUAAAAUGGAUGAAAUUUAUAGGUACAGUCAAAAAACAUUGUGGGUUCGGGUUUUUUUUCCUUCUGGUCAUUUCAU